CUGUACACUUUGGAAGUAAAAAUCGUAACAAGGUUUCCGUAGGUGAACCUGCGGAAGGAUCAUUACCGAGUGCGGGUUCGAACGAGCCCAACCUCCCACCCGUGUUUACUGUUACCGCGUUGCCUCGGCGGGCCCACUGGGGCCUGGCCCCGGUCGCCGGGGGGCUUCUGCCCCCGGGCCCGCUCCCGCCGAAGCACCCUAGAACCCUGCCUGAACAGUGAGUCUGAGUGAGAUUUUAAAUCAUUAAAACUUUCAACAACGGAUCUCUUGGUUCCGGCAUCGAUGAAGAACGCAGCGAAAUGCGAUAAGUAAUGUGAAUUGCAGAAUUCCGUGAAUCAUCGAAUCUUUGAACGCACAUUGCGCCCCCUGGCAUUCCGGGGGGCAUGCCUGUCCGAGCGUCAUUUCUGCCCUCCAGCACGGCUGGGUGUUGGGCGCUGUCCCCCCGGGGACACGCCCCAAAAGCAGUGGCGGCGCCGCGUCGGGUCCUCGAGCGUAUGGGGCUCUGUCACCCGCUCGGGAGGGACUCGGUCGGCGCUGGUCUUCCCUUUAGGCCGCCCUUCGGGGUGCGCCUCUUCCGGUGACCUCGGAUCAGGUAGCA
rnacentral:rRNA from 1 species